GACGAACGCUGGCGGCGUGCUUAACACAUGCAAGUCGAACGGAAAGGCCCUGCUUUUGUGGGGUGCUCGAGUGGCGAACGGGUGAGUAACACGUGAGUAACCUGCCCUUGACUUUGGGAUAACUUCAGGAAACUGGGGCUAAUACCGGAUAGGAGCUCCUGCUGCAUGGUAGGGGGUUGGAAAGUUUCGGCGGUUGGGGAUGGACUCGCGGCUUAUCAGCUUGUUGGUGGGGUAGUGGCUUACCAAGGCUUUGACGGGUAGCCGGCCUGAGAGGGUGACCGGCCACAUUGGGACUGAGAUACGGCCCAGACUCCUACGGGAGGCAGCAGUGGGGAAUAUUGCACAAUGGGCGGAAGCCUGAUGCAGCAACGCCGCGUGCGGGAUGACGGCCUUCGGGUUGUAAACCGCUUUCGCCUGUGACGAAGCGUGAGUGACGGUAAUGGGUAAAGAAGCACCGGCUAACUACGUG
rnacentral:rRNA from 1 species